AGGGUAAACGCUGGCGGCGUGCCUAAAACAUGCAAGUCGAACGCACAGUCUUCGGAUUGUGAGUGGCAGACGGCUGAGUAACGCGUGGGUGACGUACCUAUCGAUGGGGAAUAACUGCCCGAAAGGGUGGCUAAUACCGCAUACGCCCGCUUCUGCAUUGGGGUGGGGAAAGUUUCGCAAGCGACGUCGAUGGAGCGGCCCGCGUCCGAUUAGCUGGUUGGUGGGGUAACGGCCUACCAAGGCGACGAUCGGUAGCUGGUCUCAGAGGAUGAUCAGCCAGACUGGGACUGAGACACGGCCCAGACUCCUACGGGAGGCAGCAGUUAGGAAUUUUGGGCAAUGGGCGCAAGCCUGACCCAGCAACGCCGCGUGGGUGACGAAGGCCUUCGGGUUGUAAGCCCUUUCUGAGGGAGAUGAUGACGGUACCGUCAGGAAGAGCACCGGCUAACUACGUGCCAGCAGCCGC
rnacentral:rRNA from 1 species